AGGGUGACAGCCCCGUACACAAAAAUGCACAUGCUGUGAGCUCGAUGAGUAGGGCGGGACACGUGGUAUCCUGUCUGAAUAUGGGGGGACCAUCCUCCAAGGCUAAAUACUCCUGACUGACCGAUAGUGAACCAGUACCGUGAGGGAAAGGCGAAAAGAACCCCGGCGAGGGGAGUGAAAAAGAACCUGAAACCGUGUACGUACAAGCAGUGGGAGCACGCUUAGGCGUGUGACUGCGUACCUUUUGUAUAAUGGGUCAGCGACUUAUAUUCUGUAGCAAGGUUAACCGAAUAGGGGAGCCGAAGGGAAACCGAGUCUUAACUGGGCGUUAAGUUGCAGGGUAUAGACCCGAAACCCGGUGAUCUAGCCAUGGGCAGGUUGAAGGUUGGGUAACACUAACUGGAGGACCGAACCGACUAAUGUUGAAAAAUUAGCGGAUGACUUGUGGCUGGGGGUGAAAGGCCAAUCAAACCGGGAGAUAGCUGGUUCUCCCCGAAAGCUAUUUAGGUAGCGCCUCGUGAAUUCAUCUCCGGGGGUAGAGCACUGUUUCGGCAAGGGGGUCAUCCCGACUUACCAACCCGAUGCAAACUGCGAAUACCGGAGAAUGUUAUCACGGGAGACACACGGCGGGUGCUAACGUCCGUCGUGAAGAGGGAAACAACCCAGACCGCCAGCUAAGGUCCCAAAGUCAUGGUUAAGUGGGAAACGAUGUGGGAAGGCCCAGACAGCCAGGAUGUUGGCUUAGAAGCAGCCAUCAUUUAAAGAAAGCGUAAUAGCUCACUGGUCGAGUCGGCCUGCGCGGAAGAUGUAACGGGGCUAAACCAUGCACCGAAGCUGCGGCAGCGACGCUGAUGCGUUGUUGGGUAGGGGAGCGUUCUGUAAGCCUGCGAAGGUGUGCUGUGAGGCAUGCUGGAGGUAUCAGAAGUGCGAAUGCUGACAUAAGUAACGAUAAAGCGGGUGAAAAGCCCGCUCGCCGGAAGACCAAGGGUUCCUGUCCAACGUUAAUCGGGGCAGGGUGAGUCGACCCCUAAGGCGAGGCCGAAAGGCGUAGUCGAUGGGAAACAGGUUAAUAUUCCUGUACUUGGUGUUACUGCGAAGGGGGGACGGAGAAGGCUAUGUUGGCCGGGCGACGGUUGUCCCGGUUUAAGCGUGUAGGCUGGUUUUCCAGGCAAAUCCGGAAAAUCAAGGCUGAGGCGUGAUGACGAGGCACUACGGUGCUGAAGCAACAAAUGCCCUGCUUCCAGGAAAAGCCUCUAAGCAUCAGGUAACAUCAAAUCGUACCCCAAACCGACACAGGUGGUCAGGUAGAGAAUACCAAGGCGCUUGAGAGAACUCGGGUGAAGGAACUAGGCAAAAUGGUGCCGUAACUUCGGGAGAAGGCACGCUGAUAUGUAGGUGAAGCGACUUGCUCGUGGAGCUGAAAUCAGUCGAAGAUACCAGCUGGCUGCAACUGUUUAUUAAAAACACAGCACUGUGCAAACACGAAAGUGGACGUAUACGGUGUGACGCCUGCCCGGUGCCGGAAGGUUAAUUGAUGGGGUUAGCGCAAGCGAAGCUCUUGAUCGAAGCCCCGGUAAACGGCGGCCGUAACUAUAACGGUCCUAAGGUAGCGAAAUUCCUUGUCGGGUAAGUUCCGACCUGCACGAAUGGCGUAAUGAUGGCCAGGCUGUCUCCACCCGAGACUCAGUGAAAUUGAACUCGCUGUGAAGAUGCAGUGUACCCGCGGCAAGACGGAAAGACCCCGUGAACCUUUACUAUAGCUUGACACUGAACAUUGAGCCUUGAUGUGUAGGAUAGGUGGGAGGCUUUGAAGUGUGGACGCCAGUCUGCAUGGAGCCGACCUUGAAAUACCACCCUUUAAUGUUUGAUGUUCUAACGUGGACCCGUAAUCCGGGUUGCGGACAGUGUCUGGUGGGUAGUUUGACUGGGGCGGUCUCCUCCUAAAGAGUAACGGAGGAGCACGAAGGUUGGCUAAUCCUGGUCGGACAUCAGGAGGUUAGUGCAAUGGCAUAAGCCAGCUUGACUGCGAGCGUGACGGCGCGAGCAGGUGCGAAAGCAGGUCAUAGUGAUCCGGUGGUUCUGAAUGGAAGGGCCAUCGCUCAACGGAUAAAAGGUACUCCGGGGAUAACAGGCUGAUACCGCCCAAGAGUUCAUAUCGACGGCGGUGUUUGGCACCUCGAUGUCGGCUCAUCACAUCCUGGGGCUGAAGUAGGUCCCAAGGGUAUGGCUGUUCGCCAUUUAAAGUGGUACGCGAGCUGGGUUUAGAACGUCGUGAGACAGUUCGGUCCCUA
rnacentral:rRNA from 1 species